GAUGAACGCUAGCGGGAGGCUUAAUACAUGCAAGUCGAACGGUAACAGGCGUAGCAAUACGCGCUGACGAGUGGCGAACGGGUGAGUAACACGUACGCAAUUUGCCUCUGACUGAGGGAUAGCCCCGGGAAACUGGGAUUAAUACCUCAUAAUAUUAUGAUUCGGCAUCGGAUUAUAAUUAAACCUCCGGGGGUCAGAGAUGAGCGUGCGUCUGAUUUGGUAGUUGGUAGGGUAACGGCCUACCAAGCCAACGAUCAGUAGCUGGCGUGAGAGCGCGACCAGCCACACGGGCACUGAGACACGGGCCCGACUCCUACGGGAGGCAGCAGUAGGGAAUAUUGGACAAUGGCCGAAAGGCUGAUCCAGCCAUCCCGCGUGCAGGUAGACGGUCCUAUGGAUUGUAAACUGCUUUUCUCUGGGAAGAAACCCCACGAUUUUUCGAGGGCUGACGGUACCAGAGGAAUAAGCACCGGCUAACUCCGUGCCAGCAGCCGCGGUAAUAC
rnacentral:rRNA from 1 species